GUCAGAUGAACGCUGGCGGCAGGCCUAACACAUGCAAGUCGAACGGUAACAGGAAGAAGCUUGCUUCUUUGCUGACGAGUGGCGGACGGGUGAGUAAUGUCUGGGAAACUGCCUGAUGGAGGGGGAUAACUACUGGAAACGGUAGCUAAUACCGCAUAACGUCGCAAGACCAAAGAGGGGGACCUUCGGGCCUCUUGCCAUCGGAUGUGCCCAGAUGGGAUUAGCUAGUAGGUGGGGUAACGGCUCACCUAGGCGACGAUCCCUAGCUGGUCUGAGAGGAUGACCAGCCACACUGGAACUGAGACACGGUCCAGACUCCUACGGGAGGCAGCAGUGGGGAAUAUUGCACAAUGGGCGCAAGCCUGAUGCAGCCAUGCCGCGUGUAUGAAGAAGGCCUUCGGGUUGUAAAGUACUUUCAGCGGGGAGGAAGGGAGUAAAGUUAAUACCUUUGCUCAUUGACGUUACCCGCAGAAGAAGCACCGGCUAACUCCGUGCCAGCAGCCGCGGUAAUACGGAGGGUGCAAGCGUUAAUCGGAAUUACUGGGCGUAAAGCGCACGCAGGCGGUUUGUUAAGUCAGAUGUGAAAUCCCCGGGCUCAACCUGGGAACUGCAUCUGAUACUGGCAAGCUUGAGUCUCGUAGAGGGGGGUAGAAUUCCAGGUGUAGCGGUGAAAUGCGUAGAGAUCUGGAGGAAUACCGGUGGCGAAGGCGGCCCCCUGGACGAAGACUGACGCUCAGGUGCGAAAGCGUGGGGAGCAAACAGGAU
rnacentral:rRNA from 1 species